rnacentral:rRNA from 1 species
UACGUAGGGAGCGAGCGUUGUCCGGAUUUAUUGGGCGUAAAGAGCGCGUAGGCGGCUUGGUAAGCCGGAUGUGAAACCCCCGAGCUCAACUCGGGGCGGCCAUUCGGAACUGCCAUGGCUAGAGUCUGGUAGGGGAACACGGAAUACCUGGUGUAGCGGUGAAAUGCUUAGAUAUGACAUAGAACACCAAUUGCGAAGGCAGCUAUCUACAGGGAUAUUGACACUGAGGCACGAAAGCGUGGGGAUCAAACAGG